ACUCCUACGGGAGGCAGCAGUGGGGAAUUUUGGACACUGGGCGAAAGCCUGAUCCAGCCAUGCCGCGUGCAGGAUGAAGGCCUUCGGGUUGUAAACUGCUUUUGUACGGAACGAAACGGCCUUUUCUAAUAAAGAGGGCUAAUGACGGUACCGUAAGAAUAAGCACCGGCUAACUACGUGCCAGCAGCCGCGGUAAUACGUAGGGUGCAAGCGUUAAUCGGAAUUACUGGGCGUAAAGCGUGCGCAGGCGGUUAUGUAAGACAGUUGUGAAAUCCCCGGGCUCAACCUGGGAACUGCAUCUGUGACUGCAUAGCUAGAGUACGGUAGAGGGGGAUGGAAUUCCGCGUGUAGCAGUGAAAUGCGUAGAUAUGCGGAGGAACACCGAUGGCGAAGGCAAUCCCCUGGACCUGUACUGACGCUCAUGCACGAAAGCGUGGGGAGCAAACAGGAUUAGAAACCCGAGUAGUCCCAUGAU
rnacentral:rRNA from 1 species